UAUUGUCUGUCAAGGAAUGAACACGUUUAUAAUAAAUAUCUUUCAAUCUCGAAUAAAACUAGUGAUUUAUACAUUAAGUCGCUACACGACCAUUUGCGACUUCUGCGCCUCUGCGGUGUCUCCAUGCGAGUCGCGUUGUUAUGGCUGACUAUGGCACUAUGAAAAUAAUCGCCGUCUCCCGCGACUCGUCGCAACGGUUAAUCAACAAUCGCCUCAGGGAGUACUUCGAUCAUGGAUCCAGAACGGGGCGACGUUAACGUCUACGAGCUCGUCACGCAGCUGGUCAGGCACACGUUGCGGAGACAUUGCUCCGAGAAUGGGAGCUCCUACGUACCGCCCACGAGCGACGACAAGAGAGUGAAGGGCUUUCGCUCGAGAAUUUAUGAGAUAUUGUUAAAUAAGAGUAGCAAGACGUACAAUGAAGGGAGCGCAGCCGAUUCUAAGGUUGAUCCCUUAGUGGAGAUCUUGAAGCAUGCCUUCGUGCUCAAACUGUCCCUGAAACGCAUGUCGCAGGCGAAAGAAUUAGAAAAUUUGAUAAGUGAGCUGUACAUUCAGGAAAAUAACACAGACACUGUAAUUUCUACCUUACAGCUACUGGUAGAGCUUAAAAGCUUCCAGACUGAUGCAGGGGCUGCAUUGGAUGUAUUUCAUUAUGGCAAAACUAGUCCCUUCUUGCCUGAGGAUGUUAUUUCUGCAAAUGGUGUACCAAUGUUUCAAACAUAUCCCAUUGAAUCUUUUAUGCUGCCGGAGAAAUUCGAGGCGAUGCUGGGCGUACACCAAACCGGCCAAACUUGUACCAAGCAAGAUACAACAGCCAAUUUUGUUAGUAGAAUAUCUUUUGAAAAUCAACGUGUAUCAAAAUCUGUCCUAGGGAUCCAAAUGAUUAGGUCUAAUAAUGAGAUUGAAAUGACUCCUUGCAUAUCGAGCUGUACUGAGAAUACAGAGAAACAAUGUAACAUGGUUGUUCCCUUUUUAACGCGUAUUAUGGUUGAACAAACAAAUAAGGUAUAUUUGUCUACACAAAGAUUUAUAUCAAAUAUGACUUUACCCUGUGAAUGGAUAAAGUCUGUAGCUAAUCAAAAUAAGAAUCAUUUCUGCCCUGUGCUGUUAGACAAUUCCGAUCGUAGCUUUACAAGCGAAUCAAAAAGCGUCGGGAGCGAUUUAUGGGAAAAUGUACAAUUUUUCGACGACCCAGUCUCUAAAUUACGAACAUGGGAAUCUCUCGGAGCACCAGAAUUUUCCAAACAAUCACUGUUUGUCACCGAUAUGCCGGAGACUGCGUUGCACCUAGCGAGGAUAAGACAAACAAGUAUUUUAUCACUGCUGCCAAAGAAGAUAAUGUAUUCCAUAUCCCUGAUGUCGGAGGUUUCAUUUGAAAAAUUUUUGUCGGACGUCAAGCUGUUAUUAUUUGGUAUAGAUUCAGACUCCUUUAGAUAUGAUACCGUGACAGGAUUUAAAUUGGAGGAAAACAUUAUUGUGCACGGGAUAAGUUCCGAGACAUUGAGGAUCACCUGUCGAGAGGCGAUUUGUUGGGGCAACAGUUUCAGAUCUCUAUCUCACCUCGUCAUGCCCGACCCACAAACGGGUAAAUUACAGCAGAACGGUCUCAUAUUCAAGGCAAUGUGCACCAAUAUCAAAGAGCUGCUCCUUUACUAUCGCUCAGCGUUACAAAGUAUUCUUAAUAAACACAAAUUUCAUGGAUUGUUGAGCCUGUUCAAGCAGAUUCGUCCGCUGGCGCAUUUAAUCGUAGAAGUCGCGAGAAUGUGCGGCUGUAGCGCGAAUCAAUGCACCUUGGGUAGCGGCAGUGGGAUUCUGACGCAUAUUUACAAAGAAGUGACCAAGGUCACCAAUCCAAAGAUUGCAUUAGUGUUUUAUUCCAUAUUAAAAUCCUGCUGCGAAGUCUACUUUCGUUUCUUGCAAAACUGGUUGUUCGAGGGGACGUGCGAAGACGUUUAUGGAGAAUUUAUGAUUCAAGCGCGGUCUCACUAUCUACGAAAGAGAGGACGGAAAUUUUGGACGGAGAGCUUUAUGAUUGAUACCGAAUCGGUACCUGGUUUCUUAUCCGAGCUGUCGGAGUCGAUACUACAAUGUGGAAAGACGUUACGGCUCUUAAAAACUUGUAGUCCAAAGAAUCCCGUAUGCAACGUGUCUCUCCAUGCUCAACCGGAAGUAAGGGUCUGCUUAAGCGUAUUUAUGCUGCGGGAGCAGUUGUUGAGGUGCCAGGAAUAUGAACGUAAAGGUGAGGAAGCAUUGGGACCAAUCGUAUCUCUUUUGUCCGCGAUUCAAGAUGAGAAGAAAGCCGAGCGGGAAACAGCUGAACUCGUAAUACGCGCGCAACAGGAAACAUUAUUGAGGCUGAAUGAGGAACGCAAGGAACUUAUCAUGAAGGCCGCGCAGAGUAAACGAAAAUUACUGCAAGAAUUGAAGCAACAAGCAGAAGCGAGCGCCUUGAAUAAGGAAAGGGAAAAAGAAAAUGAAAUGUUAGCUGACAAAUUGUUACUUGAAAGGAUUAAUCGAGAGCACGAAGAAAUACGGGAGCAACAACAGGCUGAACGGGAAAAUCUUGUAAACUAUUACGAGAAAUUAACCGCCGAUAUAGAAAGCAAUCGUGCGCGAUCCAUCUGGCGAAAGGCGAGGAUGAGUCAUUUCGAAAGACGAGUGGAAUUUUUGAAAUCUGUAAAGAGGCUUGAUAGAGAAAUGUCAGAAAAUGCCGUCACACCAAAUUCUGAUGAAAACACAACAGUUGAUAUUGAUAAACAAAAUAAAAAUACAACAUCCGAAGUAGCUGUAUCAAAUCAGGAUGAAAAUAGCAACUUUGCGGAAAAUGAACUAUUGGCUGUAAUUGCAACAGAUGUUUGCGAGCAGAACAAUCUUAAAGAAAAUCUUUUAAACGCCGAAUGUUCGAAUAUUUCGCCUGUAAAAAAUUGUGAAUCUAAUAAAGCAUUCGAUAAGGAAAUUACAAUAAAUAAGGAUUCCCUCACGACAGCGGAUACGCAAGACAUACAUUCUCCACAAGAAUCUCUACCAUUAAAUUACAAGAUCUACAAGAAGAAUAACGAGAGGAGUAACUUGCAAGAUUUCCUGCGUGACGAAGCAAUGAAAAGUAUCCAUACUAUAAUGAAUAGCGAUGGUAAGAAGGCGAGUGCGCUCAAUACUCGUUUAAAUAAUAUUUUGGAAACCGACAAGGUGACUGAGAGAAUUAUUGGUAUUAACAGGCCUAAAUCUUUAGCUAUCGAGAGAAUAGACAAUAUGACCACUGCACAAACCAAUAAACUGAAAGUUCUAAUGCAAGAGUAUGGUAUGACCCCGAACAACAAUGAGCUCAGUGCGAUACUCGCAGACAAUCAAGAAAUUAUUGAUCGCGCAAAUACAAACGGCAAUAACCAAAUAUUAAUCGAUAGCGAAUCUAGUUCGGAUAAUAUGAAGGAAAACGUGAAUAAUAACGUUCUUUUUCCAAUAACUAAUAUCAAACUGCCGGAAGAAACAACAAACGUGCACGGGCCUAUGAAUGACGAAGAGUGUUCAAAUAGAACUAACAAUGCAAAUAAUGAAGCACAAGAACCAAUAGUGAAUAAUACGCAACAACAGAAUAAUAUAGAUACGCCGAUGUCGUGUACUACCGAUAAUUUUACUACUGCGUCGUGUCAUACUCCUUUGUCGCAAAUGCCGAACAGCGACGAUAUGUAUGUUUCAAACGCCGGUCAGGAAGUCUCAUCUUUAUCAGACAUGAAGUCGAUCACAGAAGAGUGCUUCGAGUCUCCAAUGAGCAGUAAUUUCAAGCUGCCGAAUCUGUUCGGUGUUAAUUUCGACAUGAAACCGUUAGCCGCACCCUCGUCUUUGACUAUAGCCGACGUCGAGAUGAUCGACCAAACGUCCCUUCAAGUGUAUUUGGAGAAAUCCAUCAUCAUUCCUCUGCAGAUACAAACUGGGCUCGUUAACAACGCGAUCAUUAAAUAUCUGGUGAACGAGCACAAUAUGCUUUCGCACUUGCACAGUUUACGUAGUUACUUCUUUCUAUUGAACGGCGAAUUCGCGAAGAGUCUAACGGACUCGCUUUAUUCGCGACUCUAUACGAUAUCCACACCAAUCGAGCUCUUCAAUUCCGCUACCCUCACGAAUCUUUUAGAGAAAGCACUGAUGAACUCGCUUAGCAAUAAUUAUGCCAACUCGGAAUUGUUGACUCUUUCUGUCGUCGACAAACCAUGCCAGUUAUACAUUUCAGAUCCAAAUGUCUUAGAAUGUCUUUGUCUCAACUAUAAAAUAUCAUGGCCACUGAAUAUUAUCUUGGAUGACACAAUGAUGCUGCAAUACAGCAAAGUGUUUAAAUUUUUAAUAAUGAUUGGCAGAAUGUCAUGGGUAUUGCAGGAAGACUUUAAUAUAAUGAAGAUGGAGCGUAACGCAGUUAAUUCAGAGCAAUAUCACAAGUUGCAGUUAUACAGGCACUCUAUGACACAAUUUAUGAAUGCUCUUCAUAAUUACCUGACGUGUAACGUGCUACACGCAAGUUGGAGCGAGUUUGAAAAGGAUCUGCAGAACUCUCGGACAAUAGAUCAGAUCUAUCUCUCGCACAUGAUCUAUAUUAAAAGGAUACUUUCAAGGUGCAUGCUCAAUACGCGCGGAGAAAAGAUGCGUGUCUGCUUGAUCACUAUCUUUAAAAUCAUACUAAAGUUUCAUAAUCGCUUAAGAUCGCAAGCUUGGUCGGUCGGCAGCACGAAUCGGUACAGCCAUCCGAAUUUCAAAAGCUUGGAACAGAUGUACCAAUCGUUCUGCGAGUGGCGAGCGUACAUGGCACACGUCGCGCAUAAAGCGGCCACCAGCGGAUAUCAGCCGCAUCUAAUGCAUUUUCUUAAUGCUUUGAAUAUCAAUCACAUAAAAUCCCUCACAGAGAGCGAUUCAUAGUCGUCCUUCGAAGCCUUUACGGUGCCCGACAAUUCCCAUGUGUUACGAUCAGCCAAUGUGUUCACCUUGCUCCUCAAACUUAGAGCUGUCUCUACGCGCCUAGCAAUUUUCGGUUGAUGCCACGUUUCCGGGUGGUACAGCCACACUUCUUCCACUAAAUGCGGGACGAUUGGCGCGAUAGAUCUCGCAAGUACAGUCAGGGUACCACGUGUUACUUCUACCGCAGCCAGACGCGUUGGGGACGCUGCUUCGUCACAGUAAAGUCUGUCUUUAAUCAAAUGGCAAUAUACCGGCGACACGGUAUUUGCCAGAAAAUUCGUUACCAAUUUACAUACGUGGUGAUACACAUAAUUGUCAUAUAAGUUUUGAAUCUGUAAGAUAAAAGAUCAAAAUUAUGGAUAA